AGGCUGCAACUCGCCUGCAUGAAGUUGGAAUUGCUAGUAAUCGCGAAUCAGAAUGUCGCGGUGAAUACGUUCCCGGGCCUUGUACACACCGCCCGUCACACCAUGAGAGUUGGAAAUACCCGAAGCCUGUGAGCUAACUUAAAGAGGCAGCAGUCGAAGGUAGAGCCAAUGAUUGGGGUGAAGUCGUAACAAGGUACC
rnacentral:rRNA from 1 species